UUGGAGGGCAAGUCUGGUGCCAGCAGCCGCGGUAAUUCCAGCUCCAAUAGCGUAUAUUAAAAUUGUUGCAGUUAAAAAGCUCGUAGUUGAAUUUCUGCUGCAUCGCUGUGUCCCUUCGGGGUCUCUGCAUGUGGCUUAUUUCGGACGGAGUUCGCUUUGUCUGGAUGUUUACUUUGAGAAAAUUAGAGUGCUCAAAGCAGGCUUUUGCCUUGAAUAGUUUAGCAUGGAAUAAUAAAGUAGGACUUUGGUUCUAUUUUGUUGGUUUUAGGUACCAAAGUAAUGGUUAAUAGGAACAGUUGGGGGCAUUCGUAUUUAACUGUCAGAGGUGAAAUUCUUAGAUUUGUUAAAGACGAACUACUGCGAAAGCAUUUGCCAAGGAUGUUUUCAUUAAUCAAGAACGAAAG
rnacentral:rRNA from 1 species